rnacentral:rRNA from 1 species
CCAGCACCCCGAGUGGUCGGGACGAUUAUUGGGCCUAAAGCAUCCGUAGCCGGUUUUACAAGUCCUCCGUUAAAUCCAACUGCUUAACAGAUGGGCCGCGGAGGAUACUAUAAGACUAGGAGGCAGGAGAGGCAAGCGGUACUCAGUGGGUAGGGGUAAAAUCCGUUGAUCCAUUGAAGACCACCAGUGGCGAAGGCGGCUUGCCAGAAUGCGCUCGACGGUGAGGGAUGAAAGCUGGGGGGAGCAAACCGGAUUAGAUACCCGGGUAGUCCCAGCUGUAAACGAUGCAGACUCGGUGAUGGACUAGCUUCAUGCUAGUCCAGUGCCGCAGGGAAGCCGUUAAGUCUGCCGCCUGGGUAGUACGGUCGCAAGACUG